GGUUCCAUAGCACAAAUGGCAGUGCAUCCGACUCCAGAUCGGAAGGUUGGGCGUUCGAGUCGCUCUGGGGCCA
rfam:Lichtheimia corymbifera JMRC:FST:9682, FST 9682, WGS project CBTN01000000 data, contig: SCAF00044